rnacentral:rRNA from 1 species
UACGUAGGGGGCAAGCGUUGUCCGGAUUUAUUGGGCGUAAAAGGCUUGUAGGUGGCCACGCCAAGUCGGAUGUGAAAUCUCCCGGCUCAACUGGGAGGGGUCAUUCGAUACUGGUGGGCUCGAGGCCGGUAGGGGGAAGCGGAAUUCCUGGUGUAGCGGUGAAAUGCGCAGAUAUCAGGAGGAACACCGGUGGCGAAGGCGGUUCUCUGGGCCUUACCUGACGCUGAGGAGCGAAAGCGUGGGGAGCGAACAGG